GACGAACGCUGGCGGCGUGCUUAACACAUGCAAGUCGAACGAAGAGCGAUGGAAGCUUGCUUCUAUCAAUCUUAGUGGCGAACGGGUGAGUAACGCGUAAUCAACCUGCCCUUCAGAGGGGGACAACAGUUGGAAACGACUGCUAAUACCGCAUACGAUCUAAUCUCGGCAUCGAGGAUAGAUGAAAGGUGGCCUCUACAUGUAAGCUAUCACUGAAGGAGGGGAUUGCGUCUGAUUAGCUAGUUGGAGGGGUAACGUCCCACCAAGGCGAUGAUCAGUAGCCGGUCUGAGAGGAUGAACGGCCACAUUGGGACUGAGACACGGCCCAGACUCCUACGGGAGGCAGCAGUGGGGAAUCUUCCGCAAUGGACGAAAGUCUGACGGAGCAACGCCGCGUGAGGGAUGACGGCCUUCGGGUUGUAAAGCUCUGUUAAUCGGGACGAAAGGCCUUCUUGCGAAUAGUGAGAAGGAUUGACGGUACCGGAAUAGAAAGCCACGGCUAACUACGUG
rnacentral:rRNA from 1 species